AUUGAACGCUGGCGGCAUGCCUUACACAUGCAAGUCGAACGGCAGCACGGGUGCUUGCACCUGGUGGCGAGUGGCGAACGGGUGAGUAAUACAUCGGAACGUACCUUAUCGUGGGGGAUAACGCAGCGAAAGUUGCGCUAAUACCGCAUACGCCCUGAGGGGGAAAGCGGGGGACCGUAAGGCCUCGCGCGAUUAGAGCGGCCGAUGUCUGAUUAGCUUGUUGGUGAGGUAAAAGCUCACCAAGGCGAUGAUCAGUAGCUGGUCUGAGAGGACGAUCAGGCACACGGGGACGGAGACACGGCGCAGACUCCUACGGGAGGCAGCAGUGGGGAAUUUUGGGCAAUGGGGGCUACCCUGAUCCAGCAAUGCCGCGUGAGUGAAGAAGGCCUUCGGGGUGUAAAGCUCUUUUGUCAGGGAAGAAACAGCAGCUCUAACACAGUCUGCGAAUGACGGUACCUGAAGAAUAAGCACCGGCUAACUACGUGCCAGCCGCCGCCGUAA
rnacentral:rRNA from 1 species